UUCAGCAUGCCCAACAAUUGCUCUAGUUUUUUGAACAUUACUUUAUAACAUAUUUGAAUUUUCUUUCAUUGAUUACAAUUAAAUUAAAUAUUUUCGAUUUGGCUUUUUUAAUAAUAAUAUUGUUUUCAAACAGUUUUGGAACUCUGAGCUUGUCCAACGGUGCUUCUCCUUGGUUUUCAUCUAUCUCACUUCUAUAUUUGGUCAGAACUGACUGGUUGUUUGGUUUUUUUAAUAAUUAAUAAUACUUUGAUAAUUUGAUUAUUUUCACAUUUAACUUUAAUUUAAACUUAACAAUUGUCAUUUAAAUUUAACUUUAGUUUUUCAUAUUAACUUUAACGUCAUACCAAUUAGUUAACUACAUAUGACAACUUAGUCAUUUUCAAAAAAAAUUUUAAAUAAUUUUAAUAACACAGAUGUCGCUAGGAACUAUUGUUUCCGUCAGCAGGCUGUCGUUUUGAAUAUUGUCAGUAACAGCUGUUCUUUGUACGAAUGGUGGCCAUUUUGUAAAAAAAAACACAUUAAAUGUGAUUUUUAACAUUUAAGGGUUUUUUACCCUAACCAGUGGUUAUAUCCCUGGGUUAAUUUUUAAAAUAUAGAAUGUGUUUGUUCGAAGUUUUCUCUUCUUUUGAGGUUUUUACACCUAUAAGACGAUAGCUCUGAUGAUGGCAUUAAUAUGCUGAAAGUACUUAGCUGAUUUAAUAAAUUAAUUUACACAC